rnacentral:rRNA from 1 species
AUUGAACGCUGGCGGCAGGCCUAACACAUGCAAGUCGAACGGUAGCACAGAGAGCUUGCUCUCGGGUGACGAGUGGCGGACGGGUGAGUAAUGUCUGAGAAACUGCCUGAUGGAGGGGGAUAACUACUGGAAACGGUAGCUAAUACCGCAUAAUGUCGCAAGACCAAAGAGGGGGACCUUCGGGCCUCUUGCCAUCGGAUGUGCCCAGAUGGGAUUAGUUUGUUGGUGAGGUAAAGGCUCACCAAGGCGACGAUCCCUAGCUGGUCUGAGAGGAUGACCAGCCACACUGGAACUGAGACACGGUCCAGACUCCUACGGGAGGCAGCAGUGGGGAAUAUUGCACAAUGGGCGCAAGCCUGAUGCAGCCAUGCCGCGUGUGUGAAGAAGGCCUUCGGGUUGUAAAGCACUUUCAGCGGGGAGGAAGGCGGUGAGUUUAAUAAGCUCACCGAUUGACGUUACCCGCAGAAGAAGCACCGGCUAACUCCGUGCCAGCCGCCGCUGUAA